ACGGGAGGCAGCAGUGAGGAAUAUUGCACAAUGGGGGAAACCCUGAUGCAGCGACGCCGCGUGAAGGAAGAAGUAUCUCGGUAUGUAAACUUCUAUCAGCAGGGAAGAGAUUGACGGUACCUGACUAAGAAGCCCCGGCUAACUACGUGCCAGCAG
rnacentral:rRNA from 1 species